rnacentral:lncRNA from 1 species
AUGGGCAAGUUCAUGAAACCCGGUAAAGUGGUGCUGAUCCUGGCCGGACGCUACUCCGGACGCAAAGCCGUCAUCGUGAAGAACAUUGAAGAUGGCACCUCGGACCGCCCUUACAGCCAUGCCCUGGUGGCUGGAAUUGACCGCUAUCCCCGGAAAGUGACAGCUGCCAUGGGCAAGAAGAAGAUCGCCAAGAGAUCCAAGAUCAAGUCCUUUGUGAAAGUUUAUAACUACAACCACCUCAUGCCCACAAGGUACUCUGUGGAUAUCCCCUUGGACAAGACUGUUGUCAACAAGGAUGUGUUCAGGGACCCAGCUUUGAAGCGCAAGGCCAGGUGGGAGGCCAAGGUCAAGUUUGAGGAGCGAUACAAGAUAGGGAAGAACAAAUGGUUUUUCCAGAAGCUUCGCUUUUAG